UGGGGAAUAUUGGACAAUGGGGGGAACCCUGAUCCAGCCAUGCCGCGUGUGUGAAGAAGGCCUUAUGGUUGUAAAGCACUUUAAGCGAGGAGGAGGCUACUGAGACUAAUACUCUUGGAUAGUGGACGUUACUCGCAGAAUAAGCACCGGCUAACUCUGUGCCAGCAGCCGCGCUAAUACAGAGGGUGCGAGCGUUAAUCGGAUUUACUGGGCGUAAAGCGUGCGUAGGCGGCUUUUUAAGUCGGAUGUGAAAUCCCCGAGCUUAACUUGGGAAUUGCAUUCGAUACUGGGAAGCUAGAGUAUGGGAGAGGAUGGUAGAAUUCCCGGUGUAGCGGUGAAAUGCGUAUAGAUCUG
rnacentral:rRNA from 1 species